rnacentral:lncRNA from 1 species
CGCCAUUAUUAAUAGUUCAGGGAAUAUACAGUAAUUCCAACUCUUGUAUCCAUUAAGACCAGCUGUAACAGUCUCGCGAUCUAAUGCCGUAGAUGCAUCUAGUUUCCUGCUAAACUUCCUAAUCUACCUCCUCAGCUCAAUCUGCUGUCUCCUACGGCCUUCUGGUCUUAUACAGAAUGUCUCUCCAAGUGAAACAUCAAGAAUCGCCUGCUCUUGUGCUUGUAACUACCUUCAAUCCACAUUUCUCAAUUUCCCAAUGAGAGAGUCAAUUUCUCAAUAAAUUAAGGAAGUCAGGUGUUUUAGAUUACAAAAAUGUGAUGUUUUUCCAAAACUUAGUUGUUGGAUCACAAGAAUGAAUAUGAUGGAUUCACUAAUGAACUACGUCUUGGAUCUCUUGAACAACGAUAUGAAAAUGUUAUAAAUGUAAAAACACAAUGAGCAACCCUAGAAUUUUCGUCCAUGACUAUAGUAUUUAUAGAUGGGGGCAAAUAGGUGUCAUGGGCGGUAUAAAACUCAUCAAAUUGCAACCUACUUUUUGGCUGGAUACAAAUGUCGCUUGAGUGAAUAACUAGCGAUAGCUGAGUAAUUGUUAGUAUUUGCAUCAUAACCUUCUCCUCCAAUGUUCGAUUUAGGUGAUUCAAAAUGCGUUGAAAAACUCACUCAGAGGGCUACAAAUAUUUAAGAAAUAGCCUUGUCCAAAUUCCAAUGUUUUCUAUGAGAAAAAUGUGUUGCAAGUUAGGACUGAGAAUUUGGAAUAUAACUUAUGCAGAUCUUUGAUAUCCUUUAAACUUCUAAUUGCAUUCCAAUAAUCAUAUGUGAUCUUUUUGGACAUCUUGAACUCCUUCAAAGACCAUACUACCAACUUCAAAAGAUUUUGUGACUUUUACAACUCUUUUACAUUAAUCCAAUUAUCUAAAGAAUUGCCAAUACACUAGAAACCUAACAUACUUGAAAUGGAAUUCACAUCGAUCUAAUAUAAUAGCAUGAAAUUCUCACAUAUUAGGUGUUGGUCCUCACAAUUCCCCUUUUCCUUCCCUAUUCCCUUCCCAUAUAGUAAAAAAAUAUUUUAAAAAGAAAUAAAAAUUGAAGUCCUUAAUUAAAUAAAUAAU